rnacentral:rRNA from 1 species
UACAGAGGUGGCAAGCGUUGUUCGGAAUUACUGGGCGUAAAGGGCGCGUAGGCGGCCUUCUAAGUCAGACGUGAAAUCCCCCGGCUUAACCUGGGAACUGCGUCUGAUACUGGAAGGCUUGAGGAUGGGAGAGGGAUGUAGAAUUCCAGGUGUAGCGGUGAAAUGCGUAGAUAUCCAGCGGAACUCCGGUGGCGAAGGCGAGGUGCUGGACCCUUUCUGACGCUGAGGCGCGAAAGCCAGGGGAGCGAACGGG